CGAAACUUUAGCAACAACUUCAGAAGUUGUCGAGUUGCUAUUCCUUAUUGCUAAUAUUCUCGCCUAUUAGAAAACAAAUAAUCAUUUAUCAGAGAUUCUUGAACUCAUAGAAUACUCAAUUCCUCGCAAGUCACGGAAACGAAAGUAAUUCGCGAGAACAUUCACACUGACAGUUACUUACCCGAUAGCCUUCUGACCAGUAACUAACAACAAAAUUUCCGUUGAUUCCGUAUCCCCCACAAUUUCGAUUAGCAAAAAAAAAAUGACAGUGAAAGAGAAUAAAAAAGAAAAUAGAUGCGAAGAAGAAAAAAUAAAAAGUAAAAUAAACUAACGUUAAUUAAAUUCUUAACUUCCAAGCAGAUUUUUGG
rnacentral:lncRNA from 1 species